ACAGCCACAUCAUGUUGAAACACCAGUUCCCAUACAAUCACCAAAGUUAAGCAAUGUUGAUCCUGGUCAGUACCUAGAUGGGUGACCACUUGAGAAUAUCAGGUGCUAUA